AGCAGCCGCGGUAAUUCCAGCUCCAAUAGCGUAUAUUAAAGUUGUUGCAGUUAAAAAGCUCGUAGUUGAAUUUCGGGAUUGACACAUCGGUCGUGCCUUAAGGGGUAUGAACUGGUGUAGUCAAUUUCUCACCUUCUGGAGAACCGCGAUGCCCUUAAUUGGGUGUCACGGGGAACCAGGACCUUUACUUUGAAAAAUUAGAGUGUUUAAAGCAGGCAUUUUGCUUGAAUACAUUAGCAUGGAAUAAUAAAAUAGGACGGCAUGAUUCUAUUUUGUUGGUUUUAGGAUCACCGUAAUGAUUAAUAGGGAUAGUUGGGGGCAUUAGUAUUCAAUUGUCAGAGGUGAAAUUCUUGGAUUUAUUGAAGACUAACUACUGCGAAAGCAUUUGCCAAGGAUGUUUUCAUUAAUCAAGAACGAAAGUUAGGGGAUCGAAGACGAUCAGAUACCGUCGUAGUCUUAACCAUAAACUAUGCCGACUAGGAAUCAGACGAUGUUAAUUUUUAAUGUACUCG
rnacentral:rRNA from 1 species